AAAAGAGAAAUCCCGCAUCUGCCGCGGCUUUGUGGUUCUCGGGCGGAAGCGCCGUCUCGAAUCUGCAUGCCCCGCCCUCUGUCGCCGAGAAGGCGUGGCUCCGGCGGGACCGCAGCGCCCUGGGGACGGCCUCGGGGCGGCGGCAGGGGAGCUCCUCCUUGGUGCUCAGAUCAGUCGCUCAGUCGCGUCCGACUCUUUGCGACCCCAUGAAUCGCAGCACGCCAGGCCUCCCUGUCCAAUACCAACUCCCGGAGUUCACUCAGACUCACGUCCAUCGAGUCAGGGAUGCCAUCCAGCCAUCUCAUCCUCUGCCGUCCCCUUCUCCUCCUCCUUGGGGCUGGUGGAGAGGAGAGACCCGACCGGAGGGGGUGCGGGGUGGCCGGCGAGAGGAGAGACCCGACCGGUGCGGGUGCGGGGUGGCCGGCGAGAGGGACCCGUGCGACGAGCUGUCGCAAGACAAGGUCGCAAGACUGAUUCGCCAGAAACGUCCGGACUGCAGUGUGUUACUCAGGCUUCCUCCUGCGGAGAGAGGGGCUCCGUAGGGUCGGGUGUGUGGAGGGGGCUUCCCUGCCAGGCGGAAGGCGGAUGGCCCACAGUGGGGAAGGGAGGAGGCGUGUGGAUGCGGAGGGCGGGGCCGGGCCGCGGGAGGGGUUCACUCCAACUCCAGCGCCUUUGUCCUUCGGUGCUUCUACAACCAAACCGAUCCCGGGCCUCCUACCGAAAGCUCCCUCCGCCUAGACCCUCGUUUCCCUGCCCCUCAUCAGCUGUGGGCUUCGCUGGUGGCUCAGAUUGUCAAGAAUCCGCCUGCAAGACAGGAAUCACGGGCUCGAUUCCUGAGUCGGAAAAAUCCCCUAGAGGAGGAAAUUGAAACCCACGACUGUGUUCUUGCCUAGGAAAUCCCAUGGACGCAGGAGCCUGGCGGGUCACAAGGACCGAAACAGCUGGACACACAGACUAAACAACAGGAAACAUUCUAUUGAUCUGAGCCGUCACAGCCACUAACCACAUGCAGCCAGGGAACUCUGGGCUGGUGGUUUCUCCCAAUUCAGAGGUACUGAAAGUGGAAAAAACACAUGGGGAUUUAAAACUUAAUAUUAAAAAUUGUAAAAAAAAAUCUCUGUAAUGAUGAUAUUAAUUACAUAUUGAAAUGAUAUUUUAGAUAUUGUGUUUUAUUCGUGGGGGGUUUGCAAGGGUUUGCCAGAACCGGAAGAGGGAUGGAACCCCUGCCCUUGUCAUUGGGAAGCAUGGAGUUCUAACCACUGGACCACCAGAAUUUGAGAAAUCUUGAGUAAAGAACGUAUUAAACUUAAUUUCACUCACUCCUCUUUAUUUUUUAUAUGCCUUAAGAAUAUUUCAAUUUACCUGGGCAAGGGAAUUCCUUGGUGCUCCAGUGGUUA
rnacentral:lncRNA from 1 species